UACAUGUGGGGCAAGCGUUGUUCGGAAUUACUGGGCAUAAAGGGUGCGUAGGUGGUUUGUUAAGUCAGGGGUGAAAUCCCGCGGCCCAACCGUGGAACUGCCUUUGAUACUGAGGAUCUUGAGUUCGGGAGAGGUGAGUGGAACUGCGAGUGUAGAGGUGAAAUUCGUAGAUAUUCGCAAGAACACCAGUGGCGAAGGCGGCUCACUGGCCCGAUACUGACGCUGAGGCAUGAAAGCGUGGGGAGCAAACAGG
rnacentral:rRNA from 1 species